CAAAAACAUCGCCUCUUGCAAAUCAAUAAAUAAGAGGUCCUGCCUGCCCAGUGACCCUAGUGUUCAACGGCCGCGGUAUCACUAACCGCGCGAAGGUAGCGCAAUCACUUGCUCUUUAAAUGGGGGCCCGUAUGAAUGGCGUGACGAGGGCUUGACUGUCUCCUUUUUCAGGUCAAUGAAAUUGAUCUCCCCGUGCAGAAGCGGGGAUAUUAACAUAAGACGAGAAGACCCUAUGGAGCUUUAGACACUAAGGCAGACCACGUUAAACAUCCCCUGUGAAAGGGUUAAACUGUAUGGCCACUGCCCUAAUGUCUUCGGUUGGGGUGACCGUGGGGGAAAACAGAGCCCCCAUGAGGAAAGGACCACCGUGUCCUGAACCAAGAGCUUCCACUCUAAUGCCCAGAAUUUCUGACUAAAAGUGAUCCGGCAACGCCGAUUAACGAACCAAGUUACCCUAGGGAUAACAGCGCAAUCCUCUUUUAGAGCUCAUAUCGACAAGAGGGUUUACGACCUCGAUGUUGGAUCAGGACAUCCUAAUGGUGCAACCACUAUUAAGGGUUCGUUUGUUCAACGAUUAAAGUCCUACGUGAUCUG
rnacentral:rRNA from 1 species